AUGGAGAAUCGGGGAGCUGCGGGGAAGCGACAACACCGCCCACCACCGGGGAAGGUGGCCCCACAGGAAGGGAGGGCCGUCCCGCCCACGGGUGGUGUCGCUAAACCUGCUCAACCUCCUAAGAAGGAAACUCAAAGGAAACAAGCUCAACCUGCAGCUCCUGUGGUGACAACCCCAACUCCUCCUCCUUUACCUGUGGUACAAGUUCUAGAUCCCAAAUACAAAGACAUGAUUUGUUUCAACUGUAGUUGGCCGGGUCACUACAUGGGGAGCUGUGUGGAGCCGAAGAAGUGCUUUAUCAGCAAUGGAAGUCAUAAUUUCAACAAUUGUGCCGCUUGGGCAAAACCUCAGCCUACUGGCACUUACUUUGUUAGUGCUGCAGCAGGGCUGGGAUUCUACCAUAUUGACAUUCCUGUGGCGACAGAGUCUAGUUGGUUUAACUAUAAAAAUUGUGUUGUUCUCAAAGUGAUCAAAGGUGAGGUUUCUGCCUCGAAAUUAUUGAUUCAACUCAAUGGGAUCUUUUGCAAGAAUAAAGAAUGGCCAUGGCAGAUCAAAGAACUAGAAAACAAGAAAUUCUUGCUUAGAUUUCCCCCAUGGAAGAAUGUGGAUGAUUUAAUUGAAUUUCCACCAUUUGAGAUACCUAUUGCUGGGGUGUCUGUCAAAAUAUGCGAAUGUGAAGGAAUGUUGGAUGAAUUUGGGGCACUAACUGAGGCCUGGGUACAGAUUGAGGGGAUUCCACCCAAGUGGUGUGCUUGGAAAGUCUUUGCCCAGAUCACAGCUUGUUUUGGUAUUCUGGUGGAUGUUGAUUGGAAUGGUAUUUUCAAAAGUUUUUAUGAAACUAUACAAGUCAAAGUUGCUUGCAGAGAUCCAAGGAAAAUUCCUUUUGAGAGGCUGGUGGAGAAAAAAAAAGAAGCUUUACCUGUUGUUCUUCACAGUGGAAGGAUUUGA
rnacentral:rRNA from 1 species